rnacentral:rRNA from 1 species
AACGAACGCUGGCGGCAGGCCUAACACAUGCAAGUCGAACGCCGUAGCAAUACGGAGUGGCAGACGGGUGAGUAACGCGUGGGAAUAUCCCCCUCAGUACGGAAUAGCCCAGGGAAACUUGGAGUAAUACCGUAUACGUCCGUGAGGAGAAAGAUUUAUCGCUGAGGGAUUAGCCCGCGUAGGAUUAGCUAGUUGGUGAGGUAAUGGCUCACCAAGGCGACGAUCCUUAGCUGGUCUGAGAGGACGAUCAGCCACACUGGGACUGAGACACGGCCCAGACUCCUACGGGAGGCAGCAGUGGGGAAUAUUGGACAAUGGGCGCAAGCCUGAUCCAGCCAUGCCGCGUGAGUGACGAAGGCCUUAGGGUUGUAAAGCUCUUUUGGCGGGGACGAUAAUGACGGUACCGCAGAAUAAGCCCCGGCUAACUUCGUG